CCUACGGGAUGCAGCAGUAGGGAAUAUUCGGCAAUGGACGAAAGUCUGACCGAGCAACGCCGCGUGAGUGAAGAAGGUUUUCGGAUCGUAAAACUCUGUUGUUAGAGAAGAACAAGUAAGAGAGUAACUGCUCUUACCUUGACGGUAUCUAACCAGAAAGCCACGGCUAACUACGUGCCAGCAGCCGCGGUAAUACGUAGGUGGCAAGCGUUGUCCGGAUUUAUUGGGCGUAAAGCGAGCGCAGGCGGUCUUUUAAGUCUGAUGUGGAAGCCCGCGGCUCAACCGAGGAAGGUCAUUGGAAACUGGAUGACUUGAGUGCAGAAGAGGAGAGUGGAAUUCCAUGUGUAGCGGUGAAAUGCGUAGAUAUAUGGAGGAACACCAGUGGCGAAGGCGACUCUCUGGUCUGUAACUGACGCUGAGGCUCGAAAGCGUGGGGAGCAAACAGGAUUAGAUACCCUAGUAGUC
rnacentral:rRNA from 1 species